UAUCUCUUGAGUAUGAUCUAGUACGUCUGCCUUCCAAGUAGAAAGAUUAAAUUCGAUUUAAAAGAGAUAUC
rnacentral:tRNA from 1 species